AAUUUUAUUCCAGAGAGUCUCUCUCUAAAACGGCGCUCUCUAUUCUCUCACCAUUUUUUUUUCCUUCUCAUUCUCUCCGUGAAGCUAUAGAAGCAUGGGUGCCGUACAAAGCCGUCGUGAAGGAGCUUAAGAAAGAAGAUUCAGGCGAGUCCAAGAUCUUAAGCCGUCGUGAAGGAGAUAUUGAAGAAGAUGGCUCAUUUUAGUCUUUCACCGAAUCUCACCGCUCCUCACAGUCUGAGAAAAGCUUUCACUAUAUUGGCUACUCAAGGCGGGGAUGAGACUCUCACUAUACAAAGCAGAGGACUGCGGCUAACAAGAAGUGACUAGCUUUUUGACCAUAUUCGCAAAAGAUUAGAGAAGGCAAUGGCGUACAUGAGUGUAGCUGCAAUAGCAGCAGCAGCAGCAGAGUCUGGUCUGAUCUGAAACAUCUUCUUUUUGUUUGAUCAUUCCACGCUUAGGAUAGGAUUAUUACAAUCAGAAAGCUUGAUACCCUUAGCAAGGAACUUAGGUUGCAAUUUGUUUUGUCUGAAAAUAUGUAGUAGAUUUUAAUAUAGUUUUAUUGUCUACUGAUGUAAGAAAUUAUAUCUCAUUGGUUGACUAAACUCU